CACAGCAGACCUCAAACCCCGCCAAGUCUCACCCACUGUGAGACAUCCCCUGUCUGAUGGAAACGGACAGUCUGAGACGCACCAAACCCUACCCAUUGGAAUAAUAAAUAACGCUCCACUAAAUCCAUCACGCCAUGCUCUAUAGCAUAACAAAUCAGGGCACACAAGUGGGGGGAGGAGAGAGAGACAAAGAGUGCUACAACUGGG